rnacentral:lncRNA from 1 species
CCCCUUCACCCCGAGUGCACCUCAGAAUAUGGAAAAUUCUGCUUCUGGAAGAGGGACAAACUCCUAUGAUGAUCUGCAAGGCCCUGCUUGAUCUGGGGCCAUCCCAUCUCUGGAUGAAUCAUGCAUCACCCUCUGGCCACAUGGACCUGCUUUUUGUUCCUCAUACUUCCACAGCCUUCUCAGCCACAUGGCCUUUGGAUAUGCCGUGACCUCCUGAAGAUCUUUCAGCUUCCUUGCUCACCUAGUGAAGCCAGCUCAGCUCAAGGGGCAAAUCCUCAGGGAAGUGUUCCCUGUCUAACCCUCUUUUGGCCUAAGGACUGCUUUAUUUUAUUUUUUAUUUUUAUUUUUUGAGAUGGAGUCUCUCUCUGUCACCCAGGCUGGAGUGCAGUGGUGCGAUCUCAGCUCACUGCAACCUCCACCUCCCGGGUUCAAGUGAUUCUCCUGCCUCAGCCUCCCGAGUAGCUGGGAUUACAAGCUCCCACCAUCACACCUAGCUAAUUUUUGUAUUUUUAGUAGAAAUGGGGUUUCACCAUGUUGUCCAGGAUGGUCUCGAUCUCCUGAUCCGCCCGCCUCAGCCUCCCAAAGUGCUGAGAUUACAAGCAUGAGCCACCGUACCUGGCCUAUUUUAUUUUAUUUUAAUUAAUUAAUCUAUUUUUGAGACAGGGUCUUGCUUUGUCGCCCAGACUGGAGUGUAGUGGCAUGAUCCAAGGCUCACUGCAGCCUCAAAGUCUAGUGCUUAAGGGAUCCUCCCAUCUCAGCUUCCAGCAUAGCUGAGACCCCAGGCACACACCACGAUGCCUGGCUAAUUUUUUAUUUUUUUUGUAGAGAUGGAAUUUCCAUGUUGCCCAGGCUGGUGUUUUUUAUUUAUUUAUUUAACCAGUCUCUGAUGGGAGGCAAGACCCCUAUAUUUGACACUCGGAUCAAGAGCUACUUUAUUUAAAACAUUUGGCCAGGCAUGGUGGCUCACGCCUGUAAUGCCAACACUUUGGGAGACCGAGGCAGGAGGAUCACGAGGUCAGGAGUUCAAGACCAACUUGGCCAAUAAGGUGAAACCCCAUCUCUACUAAAAAUACAAAAAUUAGCCAGGCAUGGUAACACGCGCCUGUAGUCCCAGCUACUCCAGAGGCUGAGGCAGGAGAAUCGCUGGAACCUUGGAGGAGAAGGUUUCAGUGAGCCGAGAUGGCACCACUGCACUCCAGCUGGGCGACAGAGUAAGACUCUGUCUCAAGAAAAAUAAAGAGACCAGGCGCAGUGGCUCACACCUGUAAUCCCAGCACUUUGGGAAGCCAAGGUGGGCGGAUCACAAGUUCAGGAGCUCGAGACCAGCCUGGCCAAUAUGGUGAAACCUCAUCUCUACUAAAAAUACAAAAAUUAGCCGGGCGUGGUGGCAGGAGCCUGUAUCCCACCUCUUGGGAGGCUGAGGCAGGAGAAUCGCUUGAACCCGGGAGGCGGAGGUUGCAGUGAGCCAAGGUCAAGCCACUUCACUUUAGCCUGGGCGACAGAGCAAGACUUCAUCUCAAAAAAUAAUAAUAAAAUAAAUUUUUGCGGGGCUGGGAGUGGUGGUUCAUGCCUGUAAUCCCAGCAUUUUUGGAGGCUGAGGUGGGCGGAUCACUUGAGGUCAGGAGUUUGAGACCAGCCUGGCCAACAUAGUGAAACCCCAUCUCUACUAAAAAUACAAAAAUUAGCCAGGCGUGGUGGCGCGCACCUGUAGUUCCAGCUGCUCGGAAGGGUGAGAUGGGAGAAUCGUUUGAACCCGGGGCCGGGGGGCUGAGGUUGCAGUGAGCUGAGAUAGCGCCAAUGCACUCCAGCCUGGGUGACAGUGAGACUCAGUCUCAAAAAAAAAAAAAUUUUUUUUUGUUAAUACUUAUCACAAGUGCAAUUUUACCUUUGUAGAAUUAAACCGUUGUUUCUGAGUUAGUUUCCUCUUGUAGCCUACUGCCUCCAAGUCUAGCAGAUGGUUAAGCGGUUUUUGUGAAUGAAUGA